rnacentral:rRNA from 1 species
AUACGUAGGUGGCAAGCGUUGUCCGGCAUUAUUGGGCGUAAAGCGCGCGCAGGCGGUCCUUUAAGUCUGAUGUGAAAGCCCACGGCUCAACCGUGGAGGGUCAUUGGAAACUGGGGGACUUGAGUGCAGAAGGGGAAAGUGGAAUUCCAAGUGUAGCGGUGAAAUGCGUAGAGAUUUGGAGGAACACCAGUGGCGAAGGCGACUUUCUGGUCUGUAACGGACGCUGAGGCGCGAAAGCGUGGGGAGCAAACAGGAUUAGAUACCCUGGUGGUCCACGCCGUAAACGAUGAGUGCUAAGUGUUAGGGGGUUUCCGCCCCUUAGUGCUGCAGCUAACGCAUUAAGCACUCCGCCUGGGGAGUACGGUCGCAAGACUGAAACUCAAAUGAAUUGACGGGG